rfam:Loxodonta africana unplaced genomic scaffold scaffold_9, whole genome shotgun sequence.
GCGGUGGUGCUUCAGUGGUAGAAUUUUCGCCUUCCAUGCGGGAGACCAGGGUUUGAUUCCCGACCAAUGCA